UACGGGGGGGGGCAAGCGUUGUUCGGAAUUACUGGGCGUAAAGGGCCAGUAGGCGGCCAACUAAGUCGGAUGUGAAAUCCCCAGGCUCAACUUGGGAACUGCGUCUGAUACUGGAUGGCUUGAAUUCGGGAGAGGGAUGCAGAAUUCCAGGUGUAGCGGUGAAAUGCGUAGAUAUCUGGAGGAAUACCGGUGGCGAAGGCGGCAUCCUGGACCGAGAUUGACACUGAUGAGCGAAAGCUAGGGGAGCAAACGGG
rnacentral:rRNA from 1 species